AAUGUAGUGAAGGAGGGAAUAGGUGCUGUACAUCAGCCAGAUUUAAUGUAUGACAUGCAUUCACCCACUCUGGUUUGCCUUUACUCAGUUAUUUCUUGCUUAUCUGGUAUUCUUAGCAGCAAGGAAAGCUGUUUUCGAAUCAAAUCCUAGCCUCACAAUAUAGUCUAUUUGUUCCUCUUCAAAUAAGUAUACUGCCAAUAAUGCUGAAAAUGAAGCUGGCACCAAUGAAGGAGGUUCCACCACUACCGUUUGAUUAAAUUAAAUAAAAUGAUACCUUUGUUGCAAACAUGG